rnacentral:rRNA from 1 species
UACGAAGGGGGCUAGCGUUGUUCGGAAUUACUGGGCGUAAAGCGCGUGUAGGCGGGUCUUUAAGUCAGGGGUGAAAUGCCAGGGCUCAACCUUGGAACUGCCUUUGAUACUGGAGACCUUGAGUCCGGGAGAGGUGAGUGGAAUUGCGAGUGCAGAGGUGAAAUUCGUAGAUAUUCGCAAGAACACCAGUGGCGAAGGCGGCUCACUGGCCCGGAACUGACGCUGAGACGCGAAAGCGUGGGGAGCAAACAGG